GAACGGCAGCGCGGGAGCAAUCCUGGCGGCGAGUGGCGAACGGGUGAGUAAUAUAUCGGAACGUGCCCAUUAGUGGGGGAUAGCCCGGCGAAAGCCGGAUUAAUACCGCAUACGACCUGAGGGUGAAAGCGGGGGAUCGCGAGACCUCGCGCUAUUGGAGCGGCCGAUAUCAGAUUAGCUAGUUGGUGGGGUAAAAGCCUACCAAGGCAACGAUCUGUAGUUGGUCUGAGAGGACGACCAGCCACACUGGGACUGAGACACGGCCCAGACUCCUACGGGAGGCAGCAGUGGGGAAUUUUGGACAAUGGGCGCAAGCCUGAUCCAGCAAUGCCGCGUGCAGGAAGAAGGCCUUCGGGUCGUAAACUGCUUUUGUCAGGGAAGAAAUCCUUUGGGUUAAUACCUCGAAGGGAUGACGGUACCUGAAGAAUAAGCACCGGCUAACUACGUG
rnacentral:rRNA from 1 species